rnacentral:rRNA from 1 species
UACGAGGGGGGCGAGCGUUGUUCGGAAUUAUUGGGCGUAAAGGGCGCGUAGGCGGCCACGCACGUCCGUUGUGAAAUCGCCCGGCUCAACUGGGCGGGGUCGGCGGAUACGGCGUGGCUGGAGCAAGCUAGGGGGCAAUGGAAUUCCCGGUGUAGUGGUGGAAUGCGUAGAUAUCGGGAGGAACACCAGUGGCGAAGGCGGUUGCCUGGAGCUUUGCUGACGCUGAGGCGCGAAAGCGUGGGGAGCGAUCCGG